rnacentral:rRNA from 1 species
GACGAACGCUGGCGGCGUGCUUAACACAUGCAAGUCGAACGGAAAGGCCCUGCUUGCAGGGUACUCGAGUGGCGAACGGGUGAGUAACACGUGGGUGAUCUGCCCUGCACUUCGGGAUAAGCCUGGGAAACUGGGUCUAAUACCGGAUAGGAGCCAUUUUUAGUGUGAUGGUUGGAAAGUUUUUUCGGUGUAGGAUGAGCUCGCGGCCUAUCAGCUUGUUGGUGGGGUAAUGGCCUACCAAGGCGGCGACGGGUAGCCGGCCUGAGAGGGUGGACGGCCACAUUGGGACUGAGAUACGGCCCAGACUCCGACGGGAGGCAGAAGUGGGGAAGAUUGCACAAUCGGAGCAAGCCUGAUGCAGCGACGCCGCGUGGGGGAUGACGGCCUACGGGUUGUAAUCGCAUUACGCUAGGGACGAAGAUUUUUGUGACGGUACCUAGAUAAGAAGCACCGGCUAACUACGUG